GUAAGAGCUGGGUCAUGUUCAUUAUACAACCUGCACAUCCAGAUAGCCAAAAAGGUAAGAGCUGGGUCAUGUUCAUUAUAGCCAAAAAGGUAAGAGCUGGGUCAUGUUCAUUAUACAACCUGCACAUCCAGAUAGCUAAAAAGGUAAGAGCUUGGUCAUGUUCAUUACACAACCUGCACAUCCAGAUAGCCAAAAAGGUAAGAGCUGGGUCAUGUUCAUUAUAGCCAAAAAGGUAAGAGCUGGGUCAUGUUCAUUAUACAACCUGCACAUCCAGAUAGCCAAAAAGGUAAGAGCUGGGUCUUGUUCAUUAUACAACCUGCACAUCCAGAUAGCCAAAAAGGUAUGAGCUGGGUCAUGUUCAUUAUACAACCUGCACAUCCAGAUAGCCAAAAAGGUAAGAGCUGGGUCAUGUUCAUUAUACAACCUGCACAUCCAGAUAGC